UACGUAGGGUGCAAGCGUUGUCCGGAAUUAUUGGGCGUAAAGAGCUCGUAGGCGGUUUGUCGCGUCUGCUGUGAAAACUCGGGGUUCAACCCCGAGCUUGCAGUGGGUACGGGCAGACUAGAGUGCGGUAGGGGAGACUGGAAUUCCUGGUGUAGCGGUGGAAUGCGCAGAUAUCAGGAGGAACACCGGUGGCGAAGGCGGGUCUCUGGGCCGUAACUGACGCUGAGGAGCGAAAGCGUGGGGAGCGAACAGG
rnacentral:rRNA from 1 species